UACGUAGGUGGCAAGCGUUGUCCGGAAUUACUGGGCGUAAAGGGCACGCAGGCGGUAAAUUAAGUCAGAUGUGUAAUCUACAGGCUUAACCUGUAGUUUGGAUCUGAUACUGGUAUACUUGAGUGUAGGAGAGGACAGUGGAAUUCCUAGUGUAGCGGUGAAAUGCGUAGAUAUUAGGAGGAACACCAGUGGCGAAGGCGGCUGUCUGGCCUACAACUGACGCUGAGGUGCGAAAGCGUGGGUAGCAAACAGGAUUAGAUACC
rnacentral:rRNA from 1 species